rnacentral:rRNA from 1 species
GACAGCAGGAUGAAGGCCAAGCUGACGACUUUGCCAGACAGGCUGAGAGGAGGUGCAUGGCCGUCGCCAGUUCGUGCCGUGAGGUGUCCGGUUAAGUCCGGCAACGAACGAGACCCCCACCCUAUGUUGCUAGGUCCUCUCUACGGAGGGGACCGCACACGUAGGGGACCGCCAGUGUUAAACUGGAGGAAGGAGGGGGCUACGGCAGGUCAGCAUGCCCCGAAUCUCCCGGGCCACACGCGGGCUGCAAUGGCGAGGACAGCGGGUUCCGACCCCGAGAGGGGAAGGCAAUCCCUUAAACCUCGCCGUAGUUGGGAUUGAGGGCUGUAACCCGCCCUCAUGAACAUGGA